rnacentral:rRNA from 1 species
ACACAUGCAAGUCGAGGGGCAGCACAGGUAGCAAUACCGGGUGGCGACCGGCGCACGGGUGAGUAACGCGUAUGCAACUUGCCUAUCAGAGGGGGAUAACCCGGCGAAAGUCGGACUAAUACCGCAUGAAGCAGGGGCCCCGCAUGGGGAUAUUUGCUAAAGAUUCAUCGCUGAUAGAUAGGCAUGCGUUCCAUUAGGCAGUUGGCGGGGUAACGGCCCACCAAACCGACGAUGGAUAGGGGUUCUGAGAGGAAGGUCCCCCACAUUGGUACUGAGACACGGACCAAACUCCUACGGGAGGCAGCAGUGAGGAAUAUUGGUCAAUGGGCGCGAGCCUGAACCAGCCAAGUCGCGUGAGGGAUGAAGGUUCUAUGGAUCGUAAACCUCUUUUAUAAGGGAAUAAAGUGCGGGACGUGUCCCGUUUUGUAUGUACCUUAUGAAUAAGGAUCGGCUAACUCCGUGCCAGCAGCCGCGGUAAUACGGAGGAUCCGAGCGUUAUCCGGAUUUAUUGGGUUUAAAGGGUGCGUAGGCGGCCUUUUAAGUCAGCGGUGAAAGUCUGUGGCUCAACCAUAGAAUUGCCGUUGAAACUGGGGGGCUUGAGUAUGUUUGAGGCAGGCGGAAUGCGUGGUGUAGCGGUGAAAUGCAUAGAUAUCACGCAGAACCCCGAUUGCGAAGGCAGCCUGCCAAGCCAUUACUGACGCUGAUGCACGAAAGCGUGGGGAUCAAACAGGAUUAGAUACCCUGGUAGUCCACGCAGUAAACGAUGAUCACUAGCUGUUUGCGAUACACUGUAAGCGGCACAGCGAAAGCGUUAAGUGAUCCACCUGGGGAGUACGCCGGCAACGGUGAAACUCAAAGGAAUUGACGG